GAUGAACGCUGGCGGCGUGCCUAAUACAUGCAAGUCGAGCGAACAGACGAGGAGCUUGCUCCUCUGACGUUAGCGGCGGACGGGUGAGUAACACGUGGAUAACCUACCUAUAAGACUGGGAUAACUUCGGGAAACCGGGGCUAAUACCGGAUAAUAUAUUGAACCGCAUGGUUCAAUAGUGAAAGACGGUUUUGCUGUCACUUAUAGAUGGAUCCGCGCCUCAUUAGCUAGUUGGUAAGGUAACGGCUUACCAAGGCAACGAUGCGUAGCCGACCUGAGAGGGGGAUCGGGCACACAGAAGCUGAGCCACGGUACAGACUCCUACGGGAGGCACAAGUAGGGAAUCUUCCGAAAUGGGCGAAAGCCUGACGGAGCAACGCCGCGUGAGUGAUGAAGGUCUUCGGAUCGUAAAACUCUGUUAUGAGGGAAGAACAAAUGUGUAAGUAACUAUGCACGUCUUGACGGUACCUAAUCAGAAAGCAACGGCUAACUACGUG
rnacentral:rRNA from 1 species